rnacentral:lncRNA from 1 species
CUACAACAUGAGGGGCUGGAUCAGACAGGGGGCAGCAAGCUCCAGCGCCGCCUUCCUAGAUCAGUAAUCAGUGAACCCCUGCACCCUUGCACCCUUGCACCCUCCUGGGGCAGCCAUUUCUCAAGCUAUGUGGGGAAGGACUGCAGGGAGCAAUGUGGCCCUGGGUGCCCUGACUGAGAUGACCUUGACCAUUCAGGCAUCCUCUAGCAGACUUUCUGGAUGUGUUUCCAAGUCGUUGGGCCUUAAGGUAAGUGAAAUAUACACCACUGAGCAGCACAGUGGGCUGGGAGCCCUGAGCGAUGUAGACAUGGGGAUGGCAGAGCAGGCACAAGCACAGCCCUGGAGCCAGCUGGCCUGAGGUCCAAAAUGGGUCAACACCAGGACAAGAGAGGAAGCUAGCAGGUCAGGCAAAGUGAGAGCUACUGUCUCAGUGGAUUCUCGCUUUCCCUCACUCAUCUCUCUCUUUCCCUUGCCUAUACACUCUAGGUAUACUAAGCUUGGCCCAUUUUACACAUGAGAAAAUGUAAGCCCGGAGACAUUGUUAGCUCAGAUUCCAGAGUCAGGGUCUGCUCCGUGGCCACUGAACAUGAAGCCCAUAUUCCUUCCCAGCAUCUGCUGCUUCUCCACUUGGACAGACUUUUCCUGCCACCGGAAUAGCAGCUGCUGCUUUGCUUACUGCUGUACCACGCGCUAGAGCAGAAUGUGGUGCAGGGGACAUGCUCCAUGGAUGUUGACUGAGAAAUACCACUGGGCCAGAUGGGGCAGCUGCUGUGACACCACUGAUGUCCCCGGCAGGGAGCCGCUUUUUCCAGCAUCCCAGAAACUGCCUGAACUGUGCUGUAGGCAUGAAUCCCACUCCCUGACACCCUCCUCUGCUCCACUGCAUCCUAAAUUGCAACCCAGCCCUUUCUCAAUGGCUGUCUUGGUCUCCCAUUCCAGCACAGGCUCCACUUAUGCUGCCCUCCUGCUAACUGCUCCCAAUCCCCUUCCCAUUCCCUGGAUUCCAAAUGGAGCCAGGAAAUUAAUCUGCCCUUAAAAAGGCUGUCCUUGUUUUGAAUUUGAUUGGCAAUGCAAUAAUGGUCAUCAUGAAAAAUAUGGGAAAGUAAAAAAAACCUGGAGAAGAAAAUAAAAUCAUUUGCAAACCUGGUGUUCAGCUUAUGACUAGAUAUAAUUGGUUUCCUUCCAGUCUUGUAAGAAAUGGGUAUGUGCUCAUACAGAACAGCAACAACAAAGCUCUUCCAGUCUUGGUUUGGAUGGAGGUAGGAAGACUAUAGAUGCUACAGUCCAAAGAGAGCUCCAUGCAAAAAUUCCAGAGUAGGUGGUCAAGAACAGGUCUCCUGAUUCUUAAAUGCUUUACUCAUGUGAAAGAGGACUGAAAGGUGUUGAGAGGUGGAGACUGAGAAGGAAUUACAAAGAGGAAG